AACGUAGGUGGCAAGCGUUAUCCGGAAUUACUGGGCGUAAAGGGUGUGUAGGCGGAUAGUUUAGUCAGAGGUGAAAGCCCAGGGCUCAACCCUGGAAUUGCCUUUGAUACUGGCUAUCUUGAGUUCGGGAGAGGUAAGUGGAACUCCGAGUGUAGAGGUGAAAUUCGUAGAUAUUCGGAAGAACACCAGUGGCGAAGGCGACUUACUGGCCCGAUACUGACGCUGAGACACGAAAGCGUGGGGAGCAAACAGG
rnacentral:rRNA from 1 species